rnacentral:rRNA from 1 species
UACAGAGGGGGCAAGCGUUAUUCGGAAUUAUUGGGCGUAAAGGGCGUGUAGGCGGGAAGGAAAGUCAGAUGUGAAAUCCCCAGGCUCAACCUGGGAACUGCAUUUGAGACUCCCUUUCUUGAGUACCGGAGAGGAAAGUGGAAUUCCUGGUGUAGAGGUGAAAUUCGUAGAUAUCAGGAGGAACACCAGUGGCGAAGGCGGCUUUCUGGACGGUAACUGACGCUGAGACGCGAAAGCGUGGGGAGCAAACAGG